rnacentral:rRNA from 1 species
CAGAACGAACGCUGGUAGCGUGGAUUAGGCAUGCAAGUCGAACGGGAGUCACCGAUAUAGUAAGUAUGGGGUGUGAGAGUGGCGGAUUGGGGAGGAACACGUGAGCAACCUGCCCUUGAGUUGGGGAAAACCGUUGGAAACGACGGCUAAUACCGGAUGCGGCGCCCCGUGACAUCACGGGAGCGCUAAAGGGGGCCGCAAGGCUCCCGCUCGAGGAGGGGCUCGCGCACCAUCAGCUUGUUGGCGGGGUAACGGCCCACCAAGGCCUACGGUUAGCUGGUCUGAGAGGAUGACCAGCCCCACUGGGACUGAGAUACUGCCCAGACUCCUACGGGAGGCUGCAGUCGAGGAUCAUUUGCAAUGGGCGAAAGCCUGACAAUGCGACGCUGCGUGGAGGAUGAAGGCCUUCGGGUUGUAAACUCCUGUCAUGGGGGAACAGGCGAGGGGAGUCAAUACCUCCCUUAGUUGAGUGUACCCCAAGAGGAAUUGGCGGCUAACUCUGUGCCAGCAGCAGC